UCCCUGAUAGCUCAGCCGGUAAAGCGUCUGCCUGCAAUGCAGGAGACCCGGGUUCGAUCCCUGGGUCGGGAA
rnacentral:tRNA from 1 species